UGCCUGAGCAUAGUCAGAGCUGUGGACCAGAUGACCUGCGGCUUAUGAGUUGAACAAUCCCACACGGGACGCAUGCAUCCCAAUGAGCUUCGAGAGUCUUGACUCGACUGAGACGGAGCGCAAGAAGAAAUGAAUAAGGAUAUGACACCUCUGGGUGCCUAUGGCCAGGCCUGGAACUACAGUCUGAAGAAGAAGUUUGGCCUCAACUCGCUGGAAAUCAGAAGGUGCUCUGUUGAGGAUGCUGGGGAGUACAAGGUGGCUGCCAGGAGUUCUCUGGGUGAAGCUACUACCAUUUCCACUCUGGUGGUCAACUGUAAAUAGCUGCUGAUUCUGACAGCUUUCAUGGACAUG